rnacentral:rRNA from 1 species
ACUCAAAGGAAUUGACGGGGGCCCGCACAAGCGGUGGAGCAUGUGGUUUAAUUCGACGCAACGCGAAGAACCUUACCUGGACUCGAACGGCUUUGGACCGGCUGUGGAAACACGGCCUUCCCGCAAGGGACCGGAGUCGAGGUGCUGCAUGGCUGUCGUCAGCUCGUGUCGUGAGAUGUUGGGUUAAGUCCCGCAACGAGCGCAACCCUUGCCCUGUGUUGCUAACCGAAAGGUGCACUCUCAGGGGACCGCCAGCGAUAAGUUGGAGGAAGGUGGGGAUGACGUCAAGUCAUCAUGGCCUUUAUGCCCAGGGCUACACACGUGCUACAAUGGGCGGUACAAUACGCUGCAAACCCGCGAGGGGGAGCUAAUCGUAAAAAACCGUUCUCAGUUCGGAUUGCAGGCUGCAACUCGCCUGCAUGAAGCUGGAAUCGCUAGUAAUGGCGUAUCAGAAUGACGCCGUGAAUACGUUCCCGGGCCUUGCACACACCGCCCGU